UGUAGCCCAGUUGUAGAGUACUUGUCUAGCAAACAAGAGGCCUAGGUUUAAUACCUAGCA
rnacentral:tRNA from 1 species